rnacentral:rRNA from 1 species
UACAGAGGUCCCAAGCGUUGUUCGGAAUCACUGGGCGUAAAGGGUGCGUAGGCGGGUCUUUAAGUCAGGGGUGAAAUCCUGGAGCUCAACUCCAGAACUGCCUUUGAUACUGAGGAUCUUGAGUACGGGAGAGGUGAGUGGAACUGCGAGUGUAGAGGUGAAAAUUCGUAGAUAUUCGCAAGAACACCAGUGGCGAAGGCGGCUCACUGGCCCGUAACUGACGCUGAGGCACGAAAGCGUGGGGAGCAAACAGG